rnacentral:RNase_P_RNA from 1 species
AGAGUGGGUUGGGCGGUCGCUCGGCUUCGCAUCGUGCGAGGCCGAGAGGAAAGUCCGAGCAGGACAGGGCACGGUGGUGGCUAACGGCCACCGGGGGCGACCCCAGGGAAAGUGCCACAGAAAACACACGGCCGAUCCGCCUGUGGCGGAGGCAAAGGUGAAAAGGUGCGGUAAGAGCGCACCGCGACGGCGGCGACGUCGUCGGCAGGGUAAACCCCACCGCCUGCAAGACCAAGCAGCCGGUCGGCUUCGGCCGCACGUGGCCCGCGUGCGAGUCCGCCGCAGGCGGAUCGGCCGGUGGGUAGGUCGCUUCCCGCUUCGGCGGGAGAGCCGGUCGGCAACGGCCGGUCCAGAUAAAUGAUCGCCGCCCGUCGUCAGACGGGCACAGAACUCGGCUUACAGACCCACUCUCGGA